UUUGUAUACAGAACUUAUUUUGCCAAUAGUCUCUGCUAUUUGAUGAGUGAAACUUCCAGGUGGUGCACCGUGUAGAUCCUUGGGCAAAGAUAUUGAGUGAUGCAACUCUGAGUUGCAUUGACUUUUGUCAUGGGGAAAAUGCUCCUCUAAUUUGAACAAUGUGUACAUCAAAGAUUGUGUUUCAUCAUCGCCAACAAAUUCAGAACUCG
rnacentral:misc_RNA from 1 species